UACGUAGGGAGCAAGCGUUGUCCGGAAUCAUUGGGCGUAAAGCGCGCGUAGGCGGCCCUGUAAGUCCGUUGUGAAAGUCAAAGGCUCAACCUUUGAAAGCCGAUGGAUACUGCAGGGCUAGAGUCCGGAAGAGGCGAGUGGAAUUCCUGGUGUAGCGGUGGAAUGCGCAGAUAUCAGGAGGAACACCAAUAGCGAAGGCAGCUCGCUGGGACGGUACUGACGCUA
rnacentral:rRNA from 1 species